rnacentral:rRNA from 1 species
UACGAAGGGGGCUAGCGUUGCUCGGAAUCACUGGGCGUAAAGCGCACGUAGGCGGACUCUUAAGUCGGGGGUGAAAUCCUGGAGCUCAACUCCAGAACUGCCUUUGAUACUGGGAGCCUUGAGUUCGAGAGAGGUGAGUGGAACUGCGAGUGUAGAGGUGAAAUUCGUAGAUAUUCGCAAGAACACCAGUGGCGAAGGCGGCUCACUGGCUCGAUACUGACGCUGAGGUGCGAAAGCGUGGGGAGCAAACAGG